UACGUAGGGGGCAAGCGUUGUCCGGAAUCAUUGGGCGUAAAGAGCAUGUAGGCGGCCCGAUAAGUCCGCUGGGAAAGUCCAGGGCUCAACCCUGGGAUGCCGGUGGAUACUGUCGGGCUCGAGUCCGGAAGAGGAGUGUGGAAUUCCUGGUGUAGCGGUGAAAUGCGCAGAUAUCAGGAGGAACACCAAUGGCGAAGGCAGCACUCUGGGACGUGACUGACGCUGAGACGCGAAAGCGUGGGGAGCAAACAGG
rnacentral:rRNA from 1 species